UGGUUGGCUUUGCGAGCUGGGGUUCGGCAAGGGGAGUUGGUGGAGAUUGAAGAAAGAGCCCCCUGGACUGCGGGUUAGUUUGGAUUAAAUAUAGGGUGGUUUGUGUAAAAUGUAAAAAAUGAUUCGUUCUUUGACUUAAAUCCGGACUGCGGGUUGAUUUUAGGAAACGUCGGGGGCUUUUUUGUAAAUGUCGUGGUGGGUUUUCCGACGGAAGCAAUAGCCGCUUUAUUAUUAGGUAUAGAUAUGAUACUAC
rnacentral:lncRNA from 1 species